GAUGAACGCUGGCGGCGUGCCUAAUACAUGCAAGUCGAGCGAACAGACGAGGAGCUUGCUCCUCUGACGUUAGCGGCGGACGGGUGAGUAACACGUGGAUAACCUACCUAUAAGACUGGGAUAACUUCGGGAAACCGGAGCUAAUACCGGAUAAUAUAUUGAACCGCAUGGUUCAAUAGUGAAAGACGGUUUUGCUGUCACUUAUAGAUGGAUCCGCGCCGCAUUAGCUAGUUGGUAAGGUAACGGCUUACCAAGGCAACGAUGCGUAGCCGACCUGAGAGGGUGAUCGGCCACACUGGAACUGAGACACGGUCCAGACUCCUACGGGAGGCAGCAGUAGGGAAUCUUCCGCAAUGGGCGAAAGCCUGACGGAGCGACGCCGCGUGAGUUAUGAAGGUCUUCGGAUCGUAAAACUCUGUUAUUAGGGAAGAACAAAUGUGUAAGGAACUAUGCACGUCUUGACGGUACCUAAUCAGAAAGCCACGGCUAACUACGUG
rnacentral:rRNA from 1 species